rnacentral:rRNA from 1 species
CGCCCCCCUCCCCGGGGGGGUGGCCAGCGCCCGCCAGAGGACCAUCAAACUCCAGUCAGUAAACGAUGCAGUCUGAAAAACAUUUAAUAAACUAAAACUUUCAACAACGGAUCUCUUGGUUCUGGCAUCGAUGAAGAACGCAGCGAAAUGCGAUAAGUAAUGUGAAUUGCAGAAUUCAGUGAAUCAUCGAAUCUUUGAACGCACAUUGCGCCCUUUGGUAUUCCGAAGGGCAUGCCUGUUCGAGCGUCAUUACAACCCUCAAGCUCUGCUUGGUAUUGGGCACCGUCCUUUGCGGGCGCGCCUCAAAGACCUCGGCGGUGGCGUCUUGCCUCAAGCGUAGUAGAACAUACAUCUCGCUUCGGAGCGCAGGGCGUCGCCCGCCGGACGAACCUUCUGAACUUUCUCAAGGUUGACCUCGGAUCAGGUAG